rnacentral:rRNA from 1 species
UGGGGAAUAUUGCACAAUGGGCGCAAGCCUGAUGCAGCCAUGCCGCGUGUGUGAAGAAGGCCUUCGGGUUGUAAAGCACUUUCAGCGGGGAGGAAGGCGGUGAGGUUAAUAACCUCAUCGAUUGACGUUACCCGCAGAAGAAGCACCGGCUAACUCCGUGCCAGCAGCCGCGGUAAUACGGAGGGUGCAAGCGUUAAUCGGAAUUACUGGGCGUAAAGCGCACGCAGGCGGUCUGUCAAGUCGGAUGUGAAAUCCCCCGGGCUCAACCUGGGGAACUGCAUUCGAAACUGGCAGGCUAGAGUCUUGUAGAGGGGUGG